AAAAUUACUGCAUCAGUGCGGUGUGGCAUGUAGGGAAUCAGCCUGUGGCACUGCUGAGGUGUUCUGGAAGCCCAGGUUACUUUGAUAGCGACCUUCAACUUGUCUGUAUUGUUGGGUCUGGUGUCUCUCAUUUUCCUCUUGGCAAUACUCCACAGAGUCUCAAUAAAUCUGCCAACAAAAUAACAAAUCUCAAAACAAAUGAACAAAACAGACAAAACGGAAAAGGUAGGUAGGCCUAUAGUUAGCGAAUGGAAUACUGACCGCUGAUUGGGCGAGGCAUCUAUCAAUCAAGAUAUACAGGAAGUACAGCAGGCUACGGCAGUGGGAAGUUGAUUAGUUUGUGGAUUAAAAUAUGGCGUUCUGCUAAAUUUCUGCAGUUCAUCUGGAAAAAAUCUGGAGGUUUUAAAAGAGACGAUAUAAAACGACUGCGCCCGUGUCCACCAGUGGUGUGCAGAGCGAGGCUUCGUGGUACACUGAAACAGGACAAGCAAAUGUGCCAUAUUGUCUCGAGGCUUCGAAACAAUCCGACACCCGUCUCCACGGUGACACCUAGUGGUCACUUGCAGGUGUUGCUAUGAAACAACCUUGACAACGAUUCAGAUAAGCCUUAACGAAUUAUAACCCACAUGUUGUUUGUGUCAAACAAGGAAGUGUGUGGGGGAGUCGAUGGUGUUUUCAAAUGGUAUGCUGCUGCCUUGGGUUUGAAUCCUGGGUGAAGUGUGCCUGUCCACAUCAUUGUAAUUCGGUGGGAUUUCAUGUCAGAUUAUUAACAAGGCAUCCUGAGGCAAGCACUGAGCAGGGAUCAGUCCAAACACUAUUGAAUAAUUUCAGUUUUAUAAACUUACAUUAUAAAACUGACCGGAGAACAGUUCAAAUUAUUUAUUAAACACUGGUUCAUUGGUUCACCUGGAGAUCAACACAAAGAAGAAGAAGCUGAAAAUGAAGCAAGCAAAUAGCAAGUUGAAGCUGCUGGUGUCUUUGAUGUCUGAACGGCGAGAGCUUAAAAACGCCUACAAGAAUGUUGAUAAGAGGGAGUUGUUGUGGCAAGGAAUUUCCAAAGAAAUAGGAUUCGAUGCUAACCCAAAACCAGGAGAAAAACGAACCAACAUAAAUGGCUCCGACUUCCUACUAACCACUAUUACCAGUGCACUAUUUGCAAAGGUGAAUAUUAAUGUGUGUUAGAUAACAAAGAGCAUAAAUAAAGUCACAAACAGGCAGAAGGUCAUACACAGGUUAAAUCAACAUACGUAAAGAACUCCUUAAACACAAAGCAAUGGCAAUGAUCUGCCAGGGGAUGGAGACUGACGCGCCUUAAGUACACCUCCGGAAACGUGCAGCCAACCAAUCCUAUUGCACAAGGCCGGAGCAGGCGUGGACAAGAUGUGAUCAUCCAGUGGCAAGCCAGAACGUGACACAUACAGUAGGUGGGGCCUAGAGAAGAGGGAGGAGACAAAAAGCAACCAUCCCACCACUGCCAUAGACACACGAAUGGCAUUUCGAGCAAACAUAAAUACACUGAAGAACGUAACAAGAAUGCAAGAAGAAUGGAAUGCAACAUGUUUUACAUGUAAAAUAAAACACGUUAUUUCAACCUAGUUCUCUUGUUCAAAGUAGUUAUAGUGUUCAGAAACAUUUGUGAUAUUUCAUGUUCCAUACCUGUCCAUUAUAUAGUUUUAUAAAAGUCAUAAAAGUUAUAAAACAAUCAUAAAAGUUUUUUUCACAAAAACACAAAAGCAAAAAAAAUCUAUCAAAACAGAUUAUACAAAUAUAUGUGGAUUACCUUAACUUGUACACACAGGAAUAAUAAAAAUACAUACAUAUGUAAUACAUAUGUAAUUAUUUUGAAAAAUCAACCAAAGGACAGACAAAGAAUUUCUUGAUUUAUUUCAACAUUUAUUUCAACUGCAAAUAUCACAACCCUCUUUUGAACUCUUCACUUUCCUAGCUUUGCAGGCCUGUAAAAUAUUCUAAUGAUACAUUUGUAGUCCAACAUCCUUGGCGACCUAAGGCUGUGUUCACACAAAUUUUUGGAAGCAAACAGCACCUGAUUUGCAUAAUAAUCUUAUGGAGUAGACCAUAUUUUCAAAAAUGAACUAAGCUUCUUUUGGGAUGCGCUCAACUGCAUUUUGCAACAGCAUUUUAUUUUAUAUGAAAAAACGCUUUGAUCUGCGAUUUUCAUCAGAAAAAGACAUUACGUGCGAACACAGCCUAACUUUGUUUAGCUACCAAGCCCUGUUAAAUACUAAGCUUAGUUCUGUUGAGGUAUGUUUAUGUAACCUCAACUAACUAGCUUCACUGGCU
ensembl:lncRNA